rnacentral:rRNA from 1 species
UACGUAGGGGGCAAGCGUUGUCCGGAUUCAUUGGGCGUAAAGAGCGUGUAGGCGGCCAGGCAGGUCCGCUGUGAAAACUCGAGGCUCAACCUCGAGAUGUCGGUGGAAACCGUCUGGCUAGAGUCCGGAAGAGGAGAGUGGAAUUCCCGGUGUAGCGGUGAAAUGCGCAGAUAUCGGGAAGAACACCCGUGGCGAAGGCGGCUCUCUGGGACGGUACUGACGCUGAGGUGCGAAAGCGUGGGGAGCAAACAGG